AUUUAAUUAACUUAUUUAACUUAAUCUUCACAUGGAAAAACUGGAUUUUUUAAAGAUAAAAAAAGAUUGAACUGUACCAGUUGAAUAUCAACCUAGUGAUCAAAAAAUAGAGUGACAAUCUUCAAGAAAAAUAGUUCAAAAUUUAAAAAACAAACUUUUAUCCUUGGGUUAUGAAGAUAUUAGCAAGGGUUUUGACGAAAUUCCUAAAUUCUUAAGAGAAAAAUUUAAGAAAUCAACUUAGCUUAUUAAACGAUUUUCAAUUUUCCGAUAGAGAGUGAUCAGAUUUUUUAAAUAACUUUAUUUUUCAAUUAGGUGACGGCAAAAAAGGAAGAAUUGAAAAAAUCCAAAAAGGUGAGCUUUAUGAACUAAAAGAUGAAAAUGACAGAAUCAUUAAAAAUGUUCGUUUAGUAAAUAAAAGAGAACUAUCUAAAAAUAAAUUGCAAUUUAUUUGCCAAGAUGAAAGGAAUGAGGUUAUUAUAUUCAUCAAUGGCCUUCCUUUUGUUUUAAUAAGUAU
rnacentral:sRNA from 1 species